GAUGAACGCUGGCGGCGUGCCUAAUACAUGCAAGUCGAGCGAAUGGAUUAAGAGCUUGCUCUUAUGAAGUUAGCGGCGGACGGGUGAGUAACACGUGGGUAACCUGCCCAUAAGACUGGGAUAACUCCGGGAAACCGGGGCUAAUACCGGAUAACAUUUUGAACCGCAUGGUUCGAAAUUGAAAGGCGGCUUCGGCUGUCACUUAUGGAUGGACCGGCGUCGCAUUAGCUAGUUGGUGAGGUAACGGCUCACCAAGGCAACGAUGCGUAGCCGACCUGAGAGGGUGAUCGGCCACCCUGGGACUGAGACACGGCCCAGACUCCUACGGGAGGCAGCAGUAGGGAAGCUUCCGCAAUGGACGAAAGUCUGACGGAGCAACGCCGCGUGAGUGAUGAAGGCUUUCGGGUCGUAAAACUCUGUUGUUAGGGAAGAACAAGUGCUAGUUGAAUAAGCUGGCACCUUGACGGUACCUAACCAGAAAGCCACGGCUAACUACGUGCCAGCCACCGCAGUAA
rnacentral:rRNA from 1 species